rnacentral:tRNA from 1 species
GCCGAAAUAGCGUAACUUGGUAGCGCAUGGAUUUGCAAAAUCUAAGGUAAUGGUUCGACUCCAUUUUUUGGCU